rnacentral:rRNA from 1 species
AUUGAACGCUGGCGGCAGGCCUAAAACAUGCAAGUCGAACGAGUGGCGGACGGGUGAGUAAUGUCUGGGAAACUGCACGAUGGAGGGGGAUAACUAAUGGAAACGGUAGCUAAUACCGCAUACCAUCGGAUGUGCCCAGAUGGGAUUAGCUAGUAGGGGGGGUAACGGCUCACAUAGGAGACGAUCCCUCGCUGGGCUGAGAGGAUGACCAGCCACACGGGAACUGAGACACGGUCCAGACUCCUACGGGAGGCAGCAGUGGUGAAUAUUGCACAAUGGGCGCAAGCCUGAUGCAGCCAGGCCGCGUGUAUGAAGAAGGCCUUCGUGUUGUAAAGUACUUUCAGCGAGGAGGCGUUACUCGCAGAAGAAGCACCGGCUAACUCCGUGCCAGCUGCCGCGGUAAUUC